UACGGAGGGUGCGAGCGUUGUCCGGAAUCACUGGGCGUAAAGGGCGCGUAGGCGGCUCAUGAAGGCUGUGGUGAAAGUCCGGGGCUCAACCUCGGAUCGGCCGUGGCGACUCGUGGGCUGGAGCACUGUAGAGGCGGGUGGAAUUCCGGGUGUAGCGGUGGAAUGCGUAGAGAUCCGGAAGAACACCAGUGGCGAAGGCGGCCCGCUGGGCAGUGGCUGACACUGAGGCGCGACAGCGUGGGGAGCAAACAGG
rnacentral:rRNA from 1 species